GUCGAACGAACUCUGGUAUUGAUUGGUGCUUGCAUCAUGAUUUACAUUUGAGUGAGUGGCGAACUGGUGAGUAACACGUGGGAAACCUGCCCAGAAGCGGGGGAUAACACCUGGAAACAGAUGCUAAUACCGCAUAACAACUUGGACCGCAUGGUCCGAGUUUGAAAGAUGGCUUCGGCUAUCACUUUUGGAUGGUCCCGCGGCGUAUUAGCUAGAUGGUGGGGUAACGGCUCACCAUGGCAAUGAUACGUAGCCGACCUGAGAGGGUAAUCGGCCACAUUGGGACUGAGACACGGCCCAAACUCCUACGGGAGGCAGCAGUAGGGAAUCUUCCACAAUGGACGAAAGUCUGAUGGAGCAACGCCGCGUGAGUGAAGAAGGGUUUCGGCUCGUAAAACUCUGUUGUUAAAGAAGAACAUAUCUGAGAGUAACUGUUCAGGUAUUGACGGUAUUUAACCAGAAAGCCACGGCUAACUACGUGCCAGCAGCCGCGGUAAUACGUAGGUGGCAAGCGUUGUCCGGAUUUAUUGGGCGUAAAGCGAGCGCAGGCGGUUUUUUAAGUCUGAUGUGAAAGCCUUCGGCUCAACCGAAGAAGUGCAUCGGAAACUGGGAAACUUGAGUGCAGAAGAGGACAGUGGAACUCCAUGUGUAGCGGUGAAAUGCGUAGAUAUAUGGAAGAACACCAGUGGCGAAGGCGGCUGUCUGGUCUGUAACUGACGCUGAGGCUCGAAAGUAUGGGUAGCAAACAGGAUUAGAUACCCUGGUAGUCCAUACCGUAAACGAUGAAUGCUAAGUGUUGGAGGGUUUCCGCCCUUCAGUGCUGCAGCUAACGCAUUAAGCAUUCCGCCUGGGGAGUACGGCCGCAAGGCUGAAACUCAAAGGAAUUGACGGGGGCCCGCACAAGCGGUGGAGCAUGUGGUUUAAUUCGAAGCUACGCGAAGAACCUUACCAGGUCUUGACAUACUAUGCAAAUCUAAGAGAUUAGACGUUCCCUUCGGGGACAUGGAUACAGGUGGUGCAUGGUUGUCGUCAGCUCGUGUCGUGAGAUGUUGGGUUAAGUCCCGCAACGAGCGCAACCCUUAUUAUCAGUUGCCAGCAUUAAGUUGGGCACUCUGGUGAGACUGCCGGUGACAAACCGGAGGAAGGUGGGGAUGACGUCAAAUCAUCAUGCCCCUUAUGACCUGGGCUACACACGUGCUACAAUGGAUGGUACAACGAGUUGCGAACUCGCGAGAGUAAGCUAAUCUCUUAAAGCCAUUCUCAGUUCGGAUUGUAGGCUGCAACUCGCCUACAUGAAGUCGGAAUCGCUAGUAAUCGCGGAUCAGCAUGCCGCGGUGAAUACGUUCCCGGGCCUUGUACACACCGCCCGUCACACCAUGAGAGUUUGUAACACCCAAAGUCGGUGGGGUAACCU
rnacentral:rRNA from 4 species